UGGAAUCAACAAAAACUUGAAGAACAGGGAAAAACAAUUUACCUGAUUGAGAGGAUUUGAGUUUACGGUAAACACACCAUGAUACUGUCUUGUUUGAGAUACUCUCAGAAGUUCCUUCUCCAGGUGAAGCACAAGUCUUACAUUAUCCUGCAAUAAAAACAUGAGCUUGUUUCAUGUCUCGUCCCAACCAACAAGGCACAGUAAGGUAUUACAUGAAGUUGCAAGUGAAAAUAAGUCUGUUUAUAGCAAAAUGGAAGAAAUCCUACAGAGGAUCACACACAAAGCCAUCUGCUUCUCUCUCUCUCCACAACAGACUUUAUUUACUGGAUGAAUGUGAAGACACCCCACUUGUCCAAUGUCCAUGGUCUCUAGACAACCUACCCCAAGCAGCUGAUUUCCUUCUGCUUAUACGAUGAAAUCACGGAUCGAGGAUCAUGCCAGGAUCAGACAAGAGGAGGAAAAGAGAAGACAAAAAGAAGAGAAACGAAGAUAACAGGAAGAAUUGAGGGUUAGCAGCAGAGAGGAGGGUGUAAUUCACUUGCAACAGGAUGCAGACUGCUAUAGUGGUUUUCUGUAGAUGCUAGCCACCCCCAUACAGCAAGCAAUCACAGGAAGCCACAGCGUGCCUCCUUUGACACCUGCAGCUCUUACCUCGCCACUAGCGCGUGCAGUGACCCCAUCAUUUUCUCCUACAGAAAGCAAUCGCCCAGAACCCAGUCCACCUUCGCCUGAUACAACUAUUCAAAUUUUCGGGUAUGAUGGCGUCGAUAGGUUGCUUAUUCAGUCAUGGUGGAUCUGCCCAAAUACCCAGAGAUUAAUUUUUCCAGAUGAGGUAUAUUGCCUUGAAGGCACAAACGAUCUUGAGCGCACCCUAGACGAGGGCACAAACGAUCUUGAGCACACCCUAGACGAGGGCACAAACGAUCUUGAGCACACCCUAGACGUCGCCCCUGUCACCGGAUUAGGUAAGUGUCAACAGUCUUGGAUGCCCUUCCGAACACAAAGAGCCUUCGCAACAAGUCUACCUUGUAGGUAGUUGUUUACUUGCAAGCAGUUGUGGGGAGAGUCUUUCAGACUUCAGACUCGCGAACAUUGUAGAGGAUAUAGAUGUCUGUCCCAGUAGAUCUUCAGUAUGUGAGCAAAUACUGAUGAAGAUAAUCCUCCUCAUGGGAGACAGGGAGGAAGAACUGGCUGAGAAACACACAGACACUGACAACACCACCUUUCUACAGGAUAUUAUCAACAUGUGUCACACCAAUGAGGCCACCAGGAAUACCACUUCUGCAAUACAUGCUUAGCCCUCUCAAACUGCAGAAGAAAAAUGACAAGGGUGCCACCCCUAGCACACCAUCAGAGUUUUUCACAAUAGUCAUACAACUGCAUGCACGCAUCCACAGAAGUGUCCAGCAGUAGACAGCAUCUGCAGUAACUUUUCACAAUAGUCAUACAACUGCAUGCACGCAUCCACAGAAGUGUCCAGCAGUAGACAGCAUCUGCAGUAACUGUGUCCACAAGGGGCAUUAGGCCAAGGCACAGAGGUGCCCUGCCAGACAGGUCCAGUGCUGCAAUUGUAGCCGAUAGGGACAAUAGGACAAGUGCUACUGGGAGAAGACAAGGGAUGCCAAACAGUGCCACUUCCAGUGCCAAGCCUACACCACCCUCUCCAGGCAAGAGCCCCAAUUCCCUCUCAUAUUGUGACAUCACAUCCAGGCUUCAGAUACUGGUGCCGACAUUUCUCUUUAAGGACCCUCAGCAUCUUGACCUUCUGUGCAUUCUUAGGAGUGCACUGCAACCAUAACCAGUUACUAAUAUGUUCACUGCAGAUGGCUCUUCGACGACACCUGCCUAAGAAUCCUUCACCACUGCUCUCACCUUAGCUUCGAGAUUUUGUUCGGCGAGGGUCCAACUCCACGAAGGUGUCUUGAAUGACCACUGCUGUCAUAUAGCCAUUGCAAAAAGUUGGCCAUCAUGCCAUCAGAUUCCCAGACCUAUUCUGGCUGUUAUCCAUAUCAAUAGGCGAGUUUCUCAGAUCUAUGGAUGUACCCAUAUUAAUAGGUAUUCAGACCUGCCUCUUCCUGCCACCAAGUUGCCUGUCGAAGCCAGAGAGAGUUUUCUAUGAAAGUUCAAGGAUGUGCUGAUCUCCAAGGAAGAACUGAAGAGUGCUGAUCUCCAAGGAAGAACUGAAGAAAGCCCGAUGGUAAUCACACUAUCAUUAUGUCCGCAAGUGACGAACCCUCAGACUGGUGUCACCCGUUCGUCGCAGUACAUAAGGACAAAGGCACUCAAAUCACCAUUGACCUCAAGAACCUCUACAGACAAGUAGAACAACCCAGCCCACCUGCCACCAUUGAUCCAAAGGCCAAGUUCUUCACCACUGCAGAUGACCUGAAUGGGUACAAGGGCAAAUGCAACUUGCAGAGGAGGAUCAAAAGUUAACCACUUUCAUCACUCCCUACGGCUGCUUUCAGCAUUGCACAGGUCCAAUGGGAUUUGCAGCCACAGGAGACUCCUACUGCCUUCAAGAGAAACUCUGCAAGAUGUCGAGAACUGUGUCUAAUCCAUGUGAUGUUGACUAAGUGCCACAAGUUUGGCAUCACACUUGACAAGGACAAGUUUCUGGUUGCUGCCUUCAGCUGUUUCCUGAUCACCAAAGAUGGCAUGUCAGCAGAACCCAGCAAAGUAGCAGCAAUCAAGGACUUCCCUACACUGACAAACUUGAUGAAUCCUCAUUCAUUUGUAGGGUUUGUGAACCAAUUGAUGGCUUGACGCCUGAGAUGGGUAAUGCAGCUUAGCCUCUCAGACCCCUUAUGAGACCAAGUGUUAUUUGUAUGGACUGUGGAUCAGGAUGGAGCAUUUUGCCAAGAGACACACUGGCUAGCCCACCAGUCCUUGCCACCUCUGAUCCAGCUCUCCCAGUUACCUACAUACCGACGCUUCUCAGUUUAAUGGACUAGGAUAUGACCACCUUCAGGACCAUGGCAAAGGAAGACUGUUUAGUACAGUGUGGCUCUACUUUUCGUAUGCCAAGACAUGCUACACAACAAUUGAGUUGGAGAUGUUAACUGUAAUGUUGGCUAUGUCCCAAUGCAGACUGUUACCACGUUUGCAACAUCUCGAGGUGAAAAUCUCUGUUCACAACCAUGUGGCGUCCUGGUAAGAAACUCAAUGUGCCCCCCAUCACCCAGCUCGCAUGCAGCAGCCCAAGAGAAUGAUGCCUUACCCCAGCCCACUGAUAAGAUUAUUCAAGGUGCAUGAAAGGGGGAGGGAGAUGUAGAUACUAUAAUCUAUAUGAAACAUGUAUUUGUCAUUGUACAAGGUAUUCUUGCUCCAAGUGGCAACCAAACAUUCAAUCCCAA